UCAGUCUAUGGACACUUGGUCCUGUUGCCUUUGGGCCUGUAGUGAGGCAGAACAUCAAGAUGGAGAGCCCAAGACCGAGGAGACAGAGGAGGUCUGUUUAACUUAAGGCAUCUGGAAAGCAAAGGGAAACAUCCACUCUGACCUAGGGUCUGGUCACGUACUUGCCAGUUGGAGAAAAUUAUGAAGCAUUUCACAAGAUUCAGCUUGUUACAGGAGACCCAUCAUGUUCAUGUGCCGUGGACCACAGUUAGGGAAACUACGAGCUGGAAAUGCCUUGGAUGCUGUUUGGUCUUCUUCCAGUGACUCAGAGAAUUUGUGGCAUCCUUGCAGUGCUUCAGUGACAUCACUUCAGCUACAGUCCCCAGGAUUUCUAAGAUGCCCACAACCAUGCUGAUUCUGCUCUGAUGGCGCUUUUUUUCCAUUUAUCCCUGUUCCAUGGAGAUGGAGCAUACAUCAUGCACAAUAUUUCAUUCCCAAAGUUGAAAACUCUGGAUUUUAGUUGAAUAGAAAUUGAAGAAGUUAGGAAAAGGACAUUCUACCAGCCAUAGGAAGCAGAUGGUUAGGAACACUCAUUGCAAUCUGUUGCACCUUGCAAAGAGGUGUAAAGAUCUGGUGGGCAGCUCCAGCUUUUAAAUAACUCACACAGCCUUUCAAAGGCCUGAGGGAAUUAACUGCUCUAACCCAUCACAAGAGCUUUGACUAUUUCCCAGCCUCCAGUCACUCUCAAAUCUCUUUCAAAGUCUGACUGAGCACCGCCUCUGCAUUUGCACAGCAAUCUGGACACCCCAUCUGUAUUUUCCACAAGUACCUCCAGCUCACAUCUCUCCUCAUGGGCCUCCAAGUUCCCUUUGGAGCACCUGUGGCACUCUCCAAGUUGGAGAACUUGGACUCAUCCCUCCUCCUCACUCCCUUUGAUCCCCAGCCAACUGAUCUCCAAAGCCUGUAGACACUGGGUCAGGAAUGCCAUUCAGGUGCCCCACCUUCUCUACUGGAGGCUUUCACACCCCCCCCACCCCCACUGCAACAAUCCACCCAUCAGUCUCCCUGUCCUCGGGUCUCCACCUCUUCCACCCUUCAGUCUGCCUGGGGGUCACCUUCUUCAAACCAGUCAAUUUAGAGGUUUCCAAAUGAUCCAAUUCAAAUUGUCCAGCUGGGCAAACAAAACCCUUCAGUGACUGACCUCACGCUAACUUUGCAGUCUCUUUCCCCACCACCUGUAUACUCCCAACUCUCCAACCACAUGGAGCUGCCCCUCAGCCCCUGCCAUGUGCAGGCUUCACACUCUGUGCCUUUGUAUACACUGUUCCUUCUGCCUAGCAUGCCUGUCCCCCAUCUGUCAGGGCCUGCCUGUGAAGUUUCCCCAACUUCCUCCAACAGCCACACCUCUAAAGCCUUUGUAUGAUUUUUUAUUUCUGCACAAAUACACAUUUGUGUCCCCCCAGCAUUAGACCCUGAGCUCCUUUAGGAUAGAAAAAUCCAUGCCAAGGUGAGGCACAGUGGUACACACCUGUAAUCCCAGUAGCUUGGGAAGCUAACACAGGAGUUCAAAGCCAGCCUCAGCAACUUAGUGAGGCCCUAAGCAACUCAG